rnacentral:rRNA from 1 species
AGAGUUUGAUCCUGGCUCAGAACGAACGCUGGCGGCGUGGAUAAGACAUGCAAGUCGAGCGAGAUUUUUUCUUGUAGCAAUACAGGGAAAAGUCUAGCGGCGAACGGGUGCUUAACACGUGGGCAACCUGCCGUGAAGUGGGGGAUAGCUCGCCGAAAGGCGAAUUAAUACCGCAUGUGAUUAGAGAGGACAUCCUUUCGAAAUUAAAGUCGGGGCAACCUGACGCUUCUUGUGGGGCCCGCGGCCUAUCAGCUAGUUGGUGAGGUAACGGCUCACCAAGGCUUUGACGGGUAGCUGGUCUGAGAGGACGACCAGCCACACUGGGACUGAGACACGGCCCAGACACCUACGGGUGGCAGCAGUCGAGAAUUUUUGACAAUGGGGGAAACCCUGAUCGAGCGACGCCGCGUGGAGGAUGAAGGUCUUCGGAUUGUAAACUCCUGUCAUUGGGGAACAAGGUGCAUACGUUAACUGCGUGUGUAUUGAUAGACCCGAAGAGAAGGACGU